GCGGGGGUUGGGGGGAGAGGGAGAUGAGUUUCAGAUGUGAGAGGUGAAGGUUUGACGGGACAGAAGUUUUACAGUCUAGGACUUUAACCUCGCUAUAAUGAAUGCAAUUGAGAUUACUUUUGUUGAAUAGCUCUUUUAUAUUCAGGGAAGCCUUAGGGCUUACUUGUUUGUAGGCGCACACGUUGGUUAUUUAAAGUAAAUACGCUCAAAUAACAGUAAAACUGCUUGAAAAACUAGUUAACGCCUCUUUUCCGAGGUAGCAGCAGUAUUUUGGGUUCUUAGCCGUUUUAGUGGCGUCUCAAAUUUUAGUUGUACGUUUUAAACGUAAUUCUACUCUUUCGACUUGAUUAUUCAUUCAAAGUGCUUAGGUGAUAUGAAUAAUCGUUUUCACUUGUUUGUUUUUAUUUAGGGUCAGUUUCACUUUCUUUUCUGUAUCAUUGAAUUAACUCUACAGAGCUUGGUUGGUAAAAGUUUAAAGAGUUGAACAAUGACCAUAGUUGACAAAGCUUCUGAAUCUUCAGACCCAUCAACCUAUCAGAAUCAGCCUGGCAGCUCUGAGGCAGUCUCACCUGGAGACAUGGAUGCAGGUUCUGCCAGCUGGGGUGCUGUGUCUUCGUUAAAUGAUGUUUCAAAUCACACGCUUUCUUUAGGACCAGUACCUGGUGCUGUAGUUUAUUCAAGUUCAACUGUUCCUGAAAAAUCAAAGCCAUCACCACAAAAGGAUCAAGCUCUAGGUGAUGGCAUUGCUCCUCCACAGAAAGUUCUUUUUCCAUCUGAGAAGAUUUGUCUUAAGUGGCAGCAAACUCAUAGAGUAGGAGCUGGGCUCCAGAAUCUGGGCAAUACCUGUUUUGCCAACGCAGCACUGCAGUGUUUAACAUACACGCCACCUCUCGCCAAUUACAUGCUAUCACACGAACACUCCAAGACAUGUCAUGCAGAAGGAUUUUGUAUGAUGUGUACCAUGCAAGCACAUAUCACCCAGGCACUCAGCAAUCCUGGGGAUGUCAUUAAACCGAUGUUUGUCAUUAAUGAGAUGCGGCGUAUCGCCAGGCACUUCCGCUUUGGAAACCAAGAAGAUGCCCAUGAAUUCCUUCAGUACACUGUUGAUGCUAUGCAGAAAGCGUGCUUGAACGGCAGCAAUAAAUUAGACAGACAUACCCAGGCUACCACACUCGUUUGUCAGAUAUUUGGAGGAUACCUAAGAUCUAGAGUCAAAUGUUUAAAUUGCAAAGGUGUUUCAGAUACUUUUGAUCCAUAUCUCGAUAUAACAUUGGAAAUUAAGGCUGCUCAGAGCGUCACCAAGGCAUUGGAGCAGUUUGUGAAGCCGGAACAGCUUGAUGGAGAAAACUCCUACAAGUGCAGCAAAUGUAAAAAGAUGGUUCCAGCUUCAAAGAGGUUCACUAUACACAGAUCCUCUAAUGUUCUGACACUUUCUCUGAAACGUUUUGCAAAUUUUACUGGUGGAAAAAUUGCUAAGGAUGUGAAAUAUCCGGAGUAUCUCGAUAUCCGACCAUACAUGUCUCAGCCAAAUGGCGAACCGAUUGUCUACGUCUUGUAUGCAGUGCUGGUGCACACUGGUUUUAAUUGCCAUGCUGGCCAUUACUUCUGCUACAUAAAAGCUAGCAAUGGCCUCUGGUACCAAAUGAAUGACUCCAUCGUAUCCACCAGUGACAUUAGAUCGGUACUCAGCCAACAAGCCUAUGUUCUCUUUUACAUCAGGUCCCACGAUGUGAAGAACGGAGGCGACCUUACUCAUUCCGCCCACAGCCCCGGCCAGUCCUCUCCCCGGCCCGUCCUCAGUCAGCGGGUUGUCAGCAGCAAGCAGGCAGCCUCAGGGUUUAUCGGACCACAGCUUCCCUCUCACAUGAUAAAGAACCCCCCUCACCUGAACGGCACGGGACCAGGGCCGUUGAAAGAGACGCCGAGCAGCUCCAUGUCCGGCCCUCACGGGAGCGCCGCGGCUAACCGGGCUGCGCCCGUGACCGCCUCGACGCCCGUCCCGAACUGGUCCGUCGGCAGGCCCUCCGUUCUUCCGGACCAUCCCAAGAAGCAGAAGAUCACCAUCAGCAUCCACAACAAGCUGCCUGUGCGCCAGGGCCCACCUCAGCCCGACCCGCACGGCGGCUCCCCGGAGGGCCCCGCCAAGCCCGCGCCCGCCGCCACCGCCACCGCGCCCUCCGCUCUGCAGUCUACCUCGCGCGCAGCCCCGCCGCCCGCCGCCGGCAGGGCAGCCAAGCAGCUCGGCCCGCCCGAGGCCUGCUCCAAGCCCGUGAUGAACGGCAAGUCCAGGCUGAGCUCCAGCCUGCUGGUGCCCUACGGCGCCGAGUCGUCGGAAGAGUCUGACGAGGAGGCCAAGGGCCUGGGCAAGGAGAACGGCCUGGGCCCCGCCGAGAGCGCGCGCUCUCCUGCUCCUCCCGAUGCCACCGCCGCCGAGGCCCCUCCGCACGAGCUGCUCGAGCUGCCCGUGGCCCUCAAUGGUGCUCCUAGUACAGACAGUGACCCGAAAGAGAACGGCCUGCCUUCCGAUGGGGCGGGCUGCCCGGUCCAGCCGGCUCUGCACCCAGAAAACCCCUUCUCCAAGGCAAACGGUCUCCCCGCGAAGCUGAUGCCUGCUCCUCUGCCACCUCUCCCAGAAGACAGAGUCUUAGAGACCUUCAAACUCAGCACCAGAGCGCAAGGCUCCGCAGAUGAGACGAGUUCGCCGGGGGCGGAGGAGAGCCCUGCGGAGGAGCCCGCCGCCGAGCUGGCGGCAGGUAGCCCUGCCCCGGAUGCCCCGGAGAACCCCGAGACCGUGGCGAGUCUUAGCAGCACGUCGAAGAAGGCUUCGCCGCCGUCGGAGCCCAGCAUCAACUCUACCAAAGAAGCCUCUGAAAACAGUGCGGCAAAGCCCGAGGCGCCUUUGCCGAGCAGCAGCAGCAGCCUUUGCACCGUCAGCAAGAGCCCCGGCGGGGACGAUGCGCGCGCUCAGCUCGCUGACCCUGCGAGCUCCUCCACGCACGGUCCCAGCAAACCUUCCCGGGACGCCGAAGGGCUGGUGACAGAGCGACCGCCGGACUCGGCAGCUGCGGAAGCGGCGGGGAGGUUGAGCCCCAGCCCCUCGGAGCGGUCCGAGGACCCCCGGGAGCCCGAGCUGUCGGCUCUCAGCCGAGAGGGGGGCGCGGCCGCCGAGGCGCCUGCAAGCGCCGGGCUGCCCGCGGGCGAGGCGCCGCCUCCGCCUCCGCAGCCCUCAGACCCGCGGGCAGAGCGCCUCGCGGAGACGGGCCCCGAGCAGAGCGGCGGGGACCGAGCAGCGGAGAGCGCGGCCAGCCCGAAGGCGCAGGCUCCGUCGCCGGUUCCGGCUCCGGUUCCGGAGAAAAUCAGCAGCCUCAGAAAAGUCGACCGGGGCCAUUAUCGCAGCCGCAGAGACCGCUCGUCCAGCGGCGAGCGCGCGCGGGGCAGCAGGAGCAGGACGGAGGAGCAGCAUCGCCGCAAGCGGCCCCGGCCCGAGCGGCCCGAGCGGCCCCGGCCCGACCCCUGCGGCCCGGCCCCGCACCACCCCGCGCACGGCGGCGAGCGGCUCAGCCUGGCCCGCUACGGCCACCACCACUCCCGCAGCAGGGGCGGCUCCGAGCAGGAGUGGGGCCGGUACCACCACGCCGAGAGCGAGCACGCCUGGGCCCGGGAGAAGUACUACCCCGACCGGACGCGCUGGGCCAAGUGCCGGCACCACCACGACAGGUACGCCCCGUACCCGGCGCGGGAGCUGCGCGACUGGAAGCCUUUCCACGCCGACCGCGAGUACGAGCGCGCGGGGCCCUACGGCAGCCGGCCCUACAAGGACCACUACCGGAGCAGGAAGGGCUACGAGCUGGCCGCCAAGGACAAGGAGCGGCACCGCUUCCCCGGGCCCCGGGCGGGCCCCUCCCACGCCCUGCCCCCGCCCCCGCCCCCCCACCCGCACCCACACCCGCACCCAGAGAGGUUCGGCCCCGAGAAGGCCGCCCUUGGAGCCGAGGACAGUGGCUGUCACCUCGCCGGUCGGUUCCAUGAACAUGAAAAUGUCAAGUCACGGAAACGGAGAUACGAGAGCCUGGAAAACGCUGACGGGCACGUGGAAAAGAAGGCCUGGAGAAGCUUCCAGAAGGGCCCUUUGGAAGAACCUAAAGUGAAGAAGCACAAGAAGUCAAAGAAGAAAAAGAAAUCCAAAGACAAACACCGAGACCGGGAUUCCAGGCACCAGCCGGAUUCCGACCUCUCGGGAGCACAUUCUGAGGCCGACCUCCACAGACACAAGAAGAAGAAGAAGAAGAAGAAGAGACACUCACGGAAAUCGGCGGACUUUGUCAGAGCUGCGGACGCGCCCCUGCCCAAGGCCGCCAGCUGCCAGACUGUGGACCGGUUCCGGAGGGCGGCCGGCGCCUUUCCGCUCCCGGACGGCCUGCCUCUGGAAGGGGCUGGACCUUUCCGCGAGAAAACAAAACAUUUACGGAUGGAAAGCAGGGCUGACAGGUGUCAUCUGUCUGAGUGUGGCCAGGGUAAGCGGGCACCCUUGCAGGCAGGAGCUAGAAACUCUUUGGAGAAGGCACAGGCGGCUCAGGGGGCGGAAGAGGCCUAGGGCCCCUGCCCGGCGCGCCCGCCUGGGGCCGUCGGGCUGGUUCACGUGCCCCUGCGUUCCGUGCAGCUGGGCCCAGCAGAUCCUCUGGCAGGGAACCUCUGGAUUUUGUGGCUCUGGGCGUCUGUGGACCAGAACUUUUGGUUUUAAGUCAUUUUUGAUAGAAAUGUUUCUGUGGUUACGUUCCUUCUCUCCCGAAUCCUUGCGCCUCCAGCAUCUGCGUAGAACCCAUGGUCACAGUUGGGUGGCCAGCUCCCUGGGCGGCCACGGUGGGCCUCCUGCCAGGCCAGGCAACUGUGCCAUGGGGCCUGGGCUCCGAGCGCUGGGUUAGCACAGGCCGCUGGCAUCCGGGGUUCUUGUCUGCUUUGCGAGGCAUUGUCUUCCUUCGUAAUUUCCUAGUUUUUUCUCCCCUGUGCACUUAAAGCAGCGCCCCCCCCCCAACUUUCUUGGCUGAUCCAGUGACCCUCGACCCUGGAAGGAUGGGUGGGGGAGGGGACAGGGAGGAUGUGUCCGGGCCUUGGGGGUGGGACCCAAGAACGGGGGUCAGCAGACUGCAGCCUGAGGCCGCCCUUGCGUAGCCCGCGCUUGCGUAGCCCACCCGUGAGGCUGGAAAAGUACAGAGAAGGUCUCCUUUCACCUGAAACUGAACCGUCAGUAAAGCCGCUGGAGCCUGGCCCGCCCGUCCCCUGUGCCAGCGUCGGAGUCGUCCGGGGAUGGGUUUGCCGACCCCCGCCCUGACGCUGGGGUGCACCCUCGGGACCUUGACCUAGCCCUGGAUGCCCAAGGUCCCCAGGUUCCCCUCUGUGAGGGACCUGGGUGAGGCACCAGGUGUUCAGGGGGCAGGCCCGCCCCUCGGCCACAGUCACUCGAUUGUCGCUGGAGGCACAGGUGGCCCGCAGCACACUGGUGUGAGAGGAGCAGAGCGUGCAGGGUGGGUGUCCUGGUGGGGGGGCCCUGCUGGCGGCAUUGGGAGCCAGUGGGAAGAGUCAAGCAGGAAAAGGAAGCUGAGAGGCUGCGUGCUGUGUGUUUUCUGCGCACUGUUGCCUUUGCACACUGGUUCCCACGAACGGCUCAGUGAUUUGGGGGAGGGGCCUGGCCUCUGGGGUGAAGCAGCGAGGGCUCUGUGUGCGCAGUGGGCCUGCAGGGAUUCUGCGCUUUGGCCAAAAUCAUCCCUUCCCCCUGCGGGUCUCCUGCAAGGAGCACCGCUUGAGGCCACCAGCUCGCCCACAGAGCCGGCCCCAGGGGAGGGAGAGUGGCAGGCGAACCCCAGCAGCGGACACUUGGUAGUCCGGCUGCGUGUCUGGGGUCAGGUGGUGGCCCUGUUCCUGUCCUGGACGUGAUGGCACCUGUGCUGUGAGCUGACCGAGGGCCCCCAGGCCGAGCAUCUCUGGGGGGGCGGAGGACGGAACUCUGCCUGCCUGUGUGUCUGCUGUCCUGGUCCCUUGACCAUUUACCUCUUUCAGACUCCUGUUCUCUGGCACCUUUGAACUCAGUGUCUUUGGCCUAAGAGCUGUUCUUGCCUGACGCCCAAAUGCCUUCUGCUGGGGUGAGAGUGGGCUGUUUCCGUGGGGAUGCGGCCCUCAGGCAUCACAUGAACUGUUUUCAGUAAAACUCAGAGCUGCAGCUCAUCCGUGCUCCUCCUCAUGUAGGACUGAUUUCAGGCAACGAGCUACUGAGAACUGGUCCUAAGUGUGAUUACCUAAUGCACACAGAGCAUAGGCCCUAAACGUAUUGUAAAACCAUCAUUAAAAUCUGUUUCCCAACCUUUGCUUUUUAGGUGAUUGAAAACUUGGCCUCAGAGCAAAGAAUUCACUAGUUACGAUUCAACGUGUUCAACAGAAGCCAUCCCCAACCCAGCUUAAAUUAUAGAGAAAAUAACUUUGUUCAAAUCUGCGUGGUGCUUCUUUAGUAAAUACUGUACAGAUUUUACCAUGGAGGACUUUUUUUUUUAGUUUUUACCUUUUCUUAAUUACCCUUAUUCCAAAUGGACGAACACUUUCUACAACUGCUGACCACUGUAAAAUACUGUGUAUAUAAAUCACAUUGAAAUAACGCCCUGGACUAGAACAUCUCAAAUGCUGCUUAAUCACAGACUCAGGUUGAUCACUCGUAUUCCAUGUAACGCUCCUCCGAGUUAGCUAGCCGGUGCAAGACCAGCCGGGACACCAUGGAAUUAUUAAAAGUACAAACUGACAGUGUGUAUAUUUAAUUUAAAAACUUAUUUAAAGAUUCACACGCUCUCAAUGAGACUUUUGAGAGCAGUCUGUUUUCUGUAAUGUCUGAUACUAGAAACUAAUUUGCUUCAUAUUUUAGUUGUAUUCAAGAUUUGAAGAUGUAUUUUAUAGACAAGUUCUGUUUUUGAACUUCGUGGAACUAUUCCAAUCAAUUUACCAGUUAUGAUGCGUAUUUACAUUAUGAAUGUAUAAUCCAAACAUUAUUUGUAAGGCCUACAGUAUGUUUUUAUUACCUAACUUUUUUAUACAGUGUCUCUUGUCUUGACUAUGAUAUUGGAGUCUGAGUUGUCGGCUUGGUCCCUUAAAGUUUCUAGUUACAGACAAAAUCAUACUGUGAUUUUAUUUUUAAUAUGGAUAUGCUAUCAAACUGUGAUACACUUAUAAUUCACUGGUCCUGCAUCAGGAGAUGGAGUGGGGAAAACUGUAUUUGAUACAGUUCGUAUCUGAAUAAUCUGUAUGGUUUAUACAGUUUGUGUUGUUCAGAGAUGUCUAAAGAAGUUUGAUCUUUGUUUUUUUAAAGAUUAAAAAAGCACUUGCCCCACUGUAAAUAUACAGCAUGGAAAAUUUAUAUAGUAUAUAAAUGGCAGCAAAUUAAACCUU